rnacentral:lncRNA from 1 species
CCUGUAAAAAUUUGAAUUUCAUUGAUUGCCGGCACCCUCCAUACCACCAACACAGUCGUUUUCGGGCGAUGUAAUCAUGCUGCUGCAGUAACACCUUCUUCUUCCACCUCUUUUUCUUUCGCUUCUCCUUCUUCCGUUUCUCCUUUUCCAGAUCAGAACCCAUCUGGAGAACAAGAGACCUGCAAGUUCCCAUCUUGACCUCGCGCGGAUUAACGCAGAACUUGAGCAGAGCUUCCAGGUGACAGCUCUUUUUGGCUGGUUGGCUGAGACAUACAAUGGAGAGACCUCUAGGGUGCUCAUUCUCGGCCACUACUGCUUGAGAAAGAAAAAGAAGGGGAGCAAGUGAACCAAUUUAGUUCAAAAUGUUGGCUGGACUAGUUCGAAUCGAAUAAAUUAGCAAACUUAGUUCGGUCUGUGUUGUUUGGCUUGGUUCAAUAACUGAACCGGUUUUAGAGUUUAUUUUUUUAUUUGAACCCCAAUUCUUUUCUUCUUCUUCAUCACGCGGAAGAGGGGUCGGCUGUUCAUUAGGUGCGGUCCCUUAAGCCUUGAGUCUCGCAUCGUCCAAAAAUGCCUCCUCCAAGUGUGCCAAGCUUUCUUCGGUCCAGUCGUCAGAUUUACCACGGAGCAAAUCCAGGAUCAUGCUGAACUGUCGCCGCGAUUCUUCCAUGAAAGCAAUGAGUUCCAGGUCGAUCUCCUUCACAGUGAUCGCUUCCGGAUUCUCCGGUUCCGAUACCACCUUGUCAGAAGUCUUUGAAUUACUGUCUAAUCUUGAAAAAGAAAGAGAGAGAGAAGAGAGAAAUAGAAGAGAAACAGAGAGGAAAAUCUGAAGAACAAUUUUAUUCUAUUCUUUUCCUUAAUUGAUUAUAAUAUAAGGAUUGAGCCUUUUAUAAGUUAUAAGCAAUUAAAGCAAUUACUAUCGUAG